AGGACGAACGCUGGCGGCGUGCUUAACACAUGCAAGUCGAGCGAGGCUCUCUCCUUCGGGAGGGAUGCCCUAGCGGCGAACGGGUGAGUAACACGUGGGCAACCUGCCCCUAGCACUGGGAUAACUCCGGGAAACCGGGGCUAAUACCGGAUACGACCUCUGAGGGCAUCCUCCGGAGGUGGAAAGCAUUGUGGCUAGGGGAUGGGCCCGCGGCCUAUCAGCUUGUUGGUGAGGUAACGGCCCACCAAGGCGACGACGGGUAGCCGGCCUGAGAGGGCGACCGGCCACACUGGGACUGAGACACGGCCCAGACUCCUACGGGAGGCAGCAGUGGGGAAUAUUGCACAAUGGGCGAAAGCCUGAUGCAGCGACGCCGCGUGAGGGAUGACUGCCUUCGGGUUGUAAACCUCUUUCAGCAGGGACGAAGCGAAAGUGACGGUACCUGCAGAAGAAGCACCGGCCAACUACGUGCCAGCAGCCGCGGU
rnacentral:rRNA from 1 species